GGAUUCCGGUGGCUGCGUCCGCGUCGCCUCUCCCAGACUAGAUCGAAGGGUUCCCCCCACCUCCCCUCUGUGGGCGGAAAGAGCGGAAUGUUCCAUUUUUCUGUGGAAUAACGGGGUCAUGAACUGGAGCCCGGGUGCUGCCCGCCGCCCGCUGCCCCCGCCCUCCCUUCUCGCCAGGGCGCCUGCGGCCUCUCUUCGCGGCCUUCCCCGAGGGACUCAGAGCCGCGAGGGACCGCCUAGCUCCCUUGGGGAUGGGGAAGGCGUGGGAGCCUCUUGGGGAAAGUGAAGAGCUCGGUGGCCGUGACUCCGCACGAGACUGCGGCAGAUUGUGGCGGCGGCUUCUCUCCAAGACUUACGUAAACGAGCCUUGCCACAGUACUUUUUUAAAUUAGUAAAUGAGUUUGGGUGCGAUUGAUCAGUGAGCCCCAGAGGUGGUGGCCCACCAAGCGACUAGUGUUUCUUUGCGGUUUGUACCUCCCCGUUUAUGAUAAAAAAUACCGGGUAAAAACCUAUUCAUCCCGCCUCCGCCCCCCCCUUUCCCUCAGAAAAUGGACCUCAAGGCUCAUGAUGUUUGUUUCUCCCCAAAGGAAGAUGAGAAUCUUGAGUUAAAAGAUAAGGCAUGUGCGUGCGUGCGUGUGGGGUGUGUGCGUGGGUGUCUGUAAAAGUAAACACCCAAAGGUAGAGGUUUUUGUGGAAGAAUGAGAGGAUAUAGGAAGGAAAUAAUGGUUUAAUGAACUUAAAUUAUAUCCAUAAAUUAACAAUUAUAAAGUUCUUCAUUAUAUUGAGGAUUCAGAUAGAGUAAAACAUAGAUCGAAUUUUAAUCUCUUAGUUGUUGAUCAGAUAAUUUAUAAAAGGGCAAAGUGGGCCUGCUAACGGAGUCGCAGGCAAAGUAGAUGGUGCUGCAGCUGAUGUGUUCAGCUCUUGCUCCUCCCUGUCAUCCUAUAUCUAACCUAUAGAUUGUGACCAGAUUCUGUUCUAGCUUUGCCAUUUAGAGGGGUGUUUAUUUUAAAACAAAUUUUUAUAAAAAUUUGUUAAAUUGAAAAUUUUGUAUAGAUCCAGGAAACUUGAUUUUUUUGUUGUUGUUCACAGUCUCACUCUGUCACCCAGGCUGGAGUGCAGUGGCUGGAUCAUGCUCACCGCACGUUCAAAUUCCUGGGCUCUAGCGAUCCUCCCACCUCAACCUCCCAAGUAUCUCAGACUACAGGUGCCCCUACAAUACCUGGCCAAUUUUUAAAAUUUUUGGAGAGACAAGAUUUUGGUAUGCUGACCCGGCUGGUCUUGAACUGCUGGCAACAAACGAUCCUCCGGCCUUAGUGGCCUCCCAAAGUGCUGAGAUAACAGGUGUGAUGCAAAGAUGUAUUUAGGGGAGAUGUAUAGUGGUUAAAUGUACCCUCUGGUUCUAGAUUGCCUAGGUUUAAAUGCUGAUGCCUCUAUUUCUCAUCUCUGUGACCUUGGGCAAGUCUUUUCAAAUUUCUUCAUCUGCAAAAUGAGAAUAACAAUACCAACCUAACAGGAUUGUUGCAAGGAUUAAAUGAGUUAAAAUACAUACAGUGUUUGGCACAUAGUAGGUGCUCUGUAAGUAUCAGCUAUAAUCAUUAUUGAAUGUCUACUCGGUCAACACUUCUGAAAUAUUUUAGUAUCACAACAUAUAUUAAAAAUGAUGAUAUUUUGCUGGACGGGGAAGGGCAGGUACACAGAAGUGGAUUGAUAUGUCACAACACACCAGCCUGCCUUGGCACCAUUAGGAAAACAAAUGACUGAGUUAGUGCUUUUAUGGGUGUCUUUUUAUUGGCUCAGCUCAGGUCCUGCUCCCAAGAAACUCACAUUUUAUGGGAGUAGUUAAAGUCUGAGGCCAAAAGGAUGAAUCAAUAUUGGAGAAGUAUUUUUCAGAGCAACAGGACGGAAGACCUCUGCUGUGCUGGAAUUACAUGACUUUGCAGAUACCUCUGUAGAGUAUUGGCCUUGAAAUUACGAAUUUCAGAUUAAGGAUUUGUUACUAGAAAGCCUUGUCAAAAUGCAAAGGUAAGUAGGGGAAAGUAGUAUAUUAAUGGAGAACUCUCCAUUUGUGUCCUGUGACCAUUUGAGAUUUUAGAUAUGUCAAGAGCAGGCCGGGUGCAGUGGCUCACACCUGUAAUCCCAGCAUUUUGGGAGGCUGAGGCAGGCGGAUCACUUGAGGCCAGGAAUUCAAGACCAGCCUGGUGAAACCCCAACUCUAUUAAAAAUACAAAGAUUAGCCAGGCAUGGUGGUGGGUGCCUGUAAUCCCAGUUACUUGGGAGGCUGAGGCACGAGAAUCACUUGAACCCAGGAGGCAGAGGUUGCAGUGAGCUGAGAUCCUGCCACUGCACUCCAGCCUGGGUGACAGAGCAAAACUCCUUCUCAAAAAAAAAAAAAAAAAAAAAAAGAGAUUGAGGAAACUGUACAGUGAGAAAGUAACAUGAAGGCACCAAAAUUACAAUUACUUGGGAGUAAGUGAGCAAAGCUUAGGAAAUUGUGCCAUGGAACAAAGGUGAUAAAUGUCAAAGACAAACUUUGCCUGCAUUUCUAAUUCCCUAAAUCUGGUGCUGACUAGGAUAUCCCUUUACUUCCUUGUCUGUGCCCAGUUAUGUUUCUGAAAUUCUGUGUCAGCCCUGGAAUUAUCCUCAUGUUCUGUAUCACCUUAAUGAUUUCAGCAUCCAUGUUCAUGACUCAUUAGCACUCUGACCUCACAAUUUCUCAUCGUUUUCUUUUCCAAUCAUCUUCAACUUCACUCUGUAUCAGCAACCCACAGAUGGAGCCACACCUUCAACCUAGUCAUCAAUGAAAUUACUUCCCCUCCAAAAUGCUGGAUUGAUUUACGGAAUGGCCAUCUUCCAUAAUUAACAAAUAAAUAAAUGAAAUUUAAUGUCAGGGUCAAAUGAAACUGGAAACAAAGCUUAUCUGGUGAUAUAUCAAAUUAUGAGAGUCAUUAUUUGGAUGUAAGGAUAUAUGACAGAUAGACUCUUAGGAGAAAUGCUAUGACCUCCUGCUUCUUGGUAUUCCUUGUGUGAUUUCCUCCUCUUGAGUGUGAAGGCAUGUAUGUCAUUGAGUUAUAUAAGAUAGUGCCCAUCUUGCUAGUGUCUCUCUCUCUCUUGUGGCUCUGAAAAAUCAAGCUGCCUGCCAUGUUUGAGCUUUGAUAUGGAAAGACCCACAUGUUAAGGAACUGAGGGCAGACUCUGCCAACAGCUAGCUUUGAAACUGAAUCUCCCGGCCAGGCACAGUGGCUCAUGCCUUUAAUCCCAGCACUUUGGGAGGCCAAGGUGGGUGGAUCACAAGGUCAGGAGUUCAAGACCAGCCUGGCCAAGAUGGUGAAACCCCAUCUCUACUAAAAAUACAAAAAUUAGCUGGGUGUGGUGGCAGGCACCUGUAAUCCCAGCUACCCAGGAGGCUGAGGGAGAGAAUUUCUUGAACCCAGGAGGCAGAGGUUGCAGUGAGCUGAGAUCACGCCACUGCACUCCAGCCUGGGUGGCAGAGCGAGACUCCAUCUCAAAAAAAAAAAAAAAAGAGAGAAAGAAACCAAAUCUCUCAGUCCUACAACCUCAAGGAACUGAAUUUUGCCAACAAAAGCAGAUCCUUCCCCAGUCAAGCCUCAGAUGAGACAGCAUCCUCAGCUAACAACUUGUUUGCAGCCUCAUGAGAACUGAAGCAGAGAACCCAGCUAAACUGUGCCUAGACUCCUGACCACAGAAACUGAGAUAAUAAAUGUGUGUUGUUUUAAGCUGCCAAGUAUGUGAUAAUUUGUUAUGUAGUGGAGAACUAAUACAACAGGGAAAAGUUAAAAGCUAUUCACAUAAAUAUUUAUAAUGGAUACUAUUUCUACACAUUUAAAUCAAGCUUCUCUUACGUUCAUAAGAAGAUACGAAUCUGGAGAAGGAAAUUAUAUCAAGCAGAACGCUGCUCUGGUGUUGUGAAGACGGGAUCCCACCAUUCUAAUGUAUUCAAUUUAUUUAUUCAAUAAGUUUUGAGCAUCAACUAUGUUCCAGGCACUGAGAUAUUAAUCUAAGGAAGACACACGUGUUGUCCUCAUUGAGGAGCUCAAAAGUCUAAUACAUAAACCAACAAUCAUACAAAAAUCAUAGCCAUGUUACAGUGCUAUGAGGAAGAUGUUAAGAGAAUAUUCUGGAAGUACUCAUACAUAAAUACUUCAGAAACUGGGCAUUAUAAGAAGUCAGUUGCCUCUCUCUACUUUCAGUUCUACAUUUUUAUACCUUGUAGUGGAUUUAAAAUGGCCACAAAUUCUUCAAUACUCUUCUAUGGAGAGAUUUGAGGGCUAUUUCCCUUCAUCUUGAAUUUAGGCAGGCUUGUUCAGGGUCUGGCUUUUAAGAGGAGCUUUCACCUUGGUCUGUGGAAGUCCUGAGUCACUGUGUACAAAGUCCAUCUACCUUAUUACACCAUCUGGAGAGAGCUGAGACUACAGGGAGAGGGGGAGUGGCCCGGCUGAUCCCAGUCUUCCUAGUGACCCUGCCCAGGAACUUGGCAUGUGAGUAAAGCCAUCUUGGAACCUCCAUACCAGACCAGCCACGAGAUGAAUAAUACUAACUGAUCCCAGUCAAUGCCACAUAGAGCAGAAGAACUGCCUAACUGAAUUCUUUCCAAACUGCUGACUCAAAAAUUUGUAUGGUAUAAUAAAAUGUUUGUUUUAAGUCACUGUUUUGUUAGGAGUAAUAAGCAACCAGAAUAAAAUUCUAAUCUUUAUCAUGUACCGUGCUGAAAAUCUGACCAUCUCACUCUCCUUAAAACUCCGUCAAUCCCUUCCCAUUACCCAAAUCCCUCUUGUAUGUCAUAGAAGUCCCUCAUUACGUGACCUCUACCUACUUCUCUGGUCUUGUCUCCUAACAUGGCCUCCAACUCCAGGCUCUCAUAUUACCUAUUUGCUAAUGGUUCCUGGGCCAGCAUCCAACAUACUGUUCCCUCCUUCCAUGCCAAGAAGAGACAGCUUAUUCUGUUUCCUUGGCCGGUCAUUGCCUUCUUCAUUUGCUUUGCCUAACUUGCUCACCGUGUAAAAAUAUUCAUCUAAGUAGUUACUUCCUCUCAGAAGUCUGCUCUAGGCCAUGAGAAACUCACAGCCAAAAAUGCAAAUGAUUCCAGAUGAUCAUUCACUGUAGAAAAGGAAUUGAUGGGCCGG
rnacentral:lncRNA from 1 species